GACGAACGCUGGCGGCGUGCUUAACACAUGCAAGUCGAACGAAGUGGCGAACGGGUGAGUAACGCGUACUCAACCUGCCCUUCAGAGGGGGACAACAGUUGGAACCGACUGCUCAUACCGCAUACUGAAGGAGGGGAGUGCGUCUGAUUAGGUAGGUGGAGGGGUAAAGGCCCACAAAGGCGAUGAUCAGUAGCCGGUCUUAGGGGAUGAACGGCAACAUGGGUACUGAGACACGGCCCAGACCCCUACGGGAGGCAGCAGGGGGGAAUCUUCCGCAAUGGACGAAAGUCGGACGGAGCAACGCCGCGUGAGGGAUGACGGCCUUCGGGUUGUAAAGCUCUGUUAAUCGGGACGCGGUACCGGAAUAGAAAGCCACGGCUAACUACGUGCCAGCAGCCGCGGGAAUAC
rnacentral:rRNA from 1 species